UUCCGGUUGAUCCUGCCGGACCUGACUGCUAUCAGAUUGAUACUAAGCCAUGUUAGUCAUUGUAGUAAUACAAGGCAGACGGCUCAGUAACACGUAGUCAACCUAACUUAUGGACGGGGAUAACCUCGGGAAACUGAGAAUAAUACCCGAUAGGUCAUGAUGCCUGGAAUGGUUUAUGACUCAAAUGAAUGUCGCCGUAGGAUGGGACUGCGAGCUAUCAGCUUGUUGGUGAGGUAAUGGCCCACCAAGGCUAUAACAGCUACGGGCUCUGAGAGGAGUAGCCCGGAGAUGGGUACUGAGACAAGGACCCAGGCCCUAUGGGGCGCAGCAGGCGAGAAAACUUUGCAAUGCGCGAAAGCUCGACAAGGUUAAUCUGAGUGGUUCCUGCUAAAGGAACCUUUUGUUAGUCGUAGAACCACUGAUGAAUAAGGGGUGGGCAAGUUCUGGUGUCAGCCGCCGCGGUAGAACCAGCACCUCAAGUGGUCAGGAUGAUUAUUGGGCCUAAAGCAUCCGUAGCCUGUUCUGUAAGUUUUCGGUUAAAUCCAUAAGCUCAACUUAUGGGCUGCCGAAAAUACUGCAGAACUAGGGAGUGGGAGAGGUAGACGGUACUCGGUAGGAAGGGGUAAAAUCCUUUGAUCUAUUGAUGACCACCUGUGGCGAAGGCGGUCUACCAGAACACGUUCGACGGUGAGGGAUGAAAGCUGGGGGAGCAAACCGGAUUAGAUACCCGGGUAGUCCCAGCUGUAAACGAUGCAAACUCGAUGAUGCGUUGGCUUGUUGCUAGCGCAGUGUCGCACGGAAGCCGUUAAGUUUGCCGCCUGGGAAGUACGUACGCAAGUAUGAAACUUAAAGGAAUUUGUCGGGGGAGCACCACAAGGGGUGAAGCCUGCGGUUCAAUUGGAGUCAACGCCGGA
rnacentral:rRNA from 1 species